rnacentral:tRNA from 1 species
GGGAACAUGGCUCAAGUAAUAGAGUGCCUGCCUGGCAUGUAUGAGGCCUUGAGUUCAAAUCUCAGUACCUCCA